rnacentral:rRNA from 1 species
CCUACGGGGGGCAGCAGUAGGGAAUCUUCGGCAAUGGGGGGAACCCUGACCGAGCAACGCCGCGUGAAGGAAGAAGGCAUUCGGAAUGUAAAGUUCUUUUAACAGGGAAGAAAGAGAAACUGGACGGUACCUGAAGAAUAAGCCCCGGCUAACUACGUGCCAGCAGCGGGGGUAAUACGUGGGGAGCGAGCGUUAUCCGGAAUGAUUGGGGGUAAAGGGUGGGUGGAUGGCAUAGUAAGUCUUUUGUAAAAAUGCUGGGCUCAACCCAGUAGGGCAAAAGAUACUGCAAGUCUAGAGUAUGCGAGAGGCAGGCGGAACUACAUGUGUAGCGGUGAAAUGCGUAGAUAUAUGUAAGAACACCAGUGGCGAAGGCGGCUUGCUGGAUCGAUACUGACGUUGAGGCACGAAAGCGUGGGGAGCAAACAGGAUUAGAUACCCGUGUAGUC